GUUUUGGUAGCCUAGUGGUUAGAGCGUCCGCCUUGGAUGCGAGAGGUCAUGGGUUCGAUACCUGGUAGAGUCAUACCAAAGACU